GCCCGGGUGGCGGAAUUGGUAGACGCGCCAGCUUCAGGUGCUGGUGGCCGUAAGGCCGUGUGGGUUCGAGUCCCACCCCGGGCACCA
rnacentral:tRNA from 1 species